CACGUGAGCAAUCUGCCUUUCAGAGGGGGAUACCGAUUGGAAACGAUCGUUAAUACCGCAUAACAUAAUUGAACCGCAUGAUUUGAUUAUCAAAGAUUUAUCGCUGAAAGAUGAGCUCGCGUCUGAUUAGCUAGUUGGUAAGGUAACGGCUUACCAAGGCGACGAUCAGUAGCCGGACUGAGAGGUUGAUCGGCCACAUUGGGACUGAGACACGGCCCAGACUCCUACGGGAGGCAGCAGUGGGGAAUAUUGCACAAUGGAGGAAACUCUGAUGCAGCGAUGCCGCGUGAGGGAAGAAGGUUUUAGGAUUGUAAACCUCUGUCUUCAGGGACGAAAAAUGACGGUACCUGAGGAGGAAGCUCCGGCUAACUAC
rnacentral:rRNA from 1 species